GCAGUAAUGGCCAAGGUUAGCACCGCAACUGAUUCAGAACUACAGAUACCAGUAUGCUCAGUCAGCCGUCAAGCUAGCCUACAAGUCCUGGGUUCAGCUAAACAGGAUUCCCUGAAGUCUGCUAUAUCAAAGGAUGGGUCAACACAUUCCCAGGGUUAUUUAAUAAAGUGAGUAUUGUUAGAAUUUCAAAAUUAUUUAAAGUGAAUUUCAAAUGUAAGGCCAGAGUAAUCAACCCUUAAAUUCAUCCCCAAGUCAACAAUGCUUCGAGUUCAGCUACUUUGUCCUAAAAUCAGAAAUGCUCUUUAAGUUCACUUUGAACUCCCAGCAAUUCUCAGUUUAGUAAGUAACCCUGUCUGAUAGAAAUUAUGUAUUUAUUCCAACUUACCUGGUGUUGCGUGUUUUUUCUGGAUUUUUGUAUCACUUAAAGACUGGCUGAGCAAUAAAGGAAAAAAUAGCUCAGAAUCUUCAUAGUUAGCUAUCCGUUACGCAAAG